CCCAUCUCCGGGUCGCACCUGGAGAGUGUCUAGUACUCCGCCAGUCUCGACUAUGAGAAGGAGAGUCAAGCAGAGGUAUAUCCAUUCCAUUCCUAGUUUGGGAAGUGGCUAGCAAGUGGAAGGCAAUCUGCUACACUG